UUCCUGUGUACCUGAGGACUUUACAGGCCUUCUAAAGGGGAUAAAAUAACUUUGCUGGUGCAGGACUACAGACUACCACCAAAACAUCUCAAUGAAUGUAAUGCAAAUGCAACUGCUGUGAGACGUUACAGGGCUAAGCCGCACACUGAGCAAAUGCAAAGCAUCUUCUGCAAUGGCAGUGAUUGAAAAGAGGCUACAGAAGCAGAGAAGUUGGUCCCAAUAACAAGUGAUAGCCCAUGCUACCAGUCAAUGAAUGGAGAACCUAUCGCUGCAAAGCCAUUUGUCUGCACAAAAACUACUGAUUCUGCCAGAGAAUGCUCAGUGGGAAGCUGAGGUCACAUCAGUGCGUCUUUCCACCACUUUAGAAAUUUUACUAUAUGGAUGCUGGUACACACAUCUCAAAGAAAUUACACUUAAUGUAAAAAACAAGAUAUAAAGAUUCUGUUAUCAACAUUAGCUCUCUAUGUAGCACUUUCUGGGGUUCUGUGAUGGCAGAAGAUUGAAUUUCCAUGACAACAUUACAAAAUAUAAUCCUUUUUGGUUCGCUUAAGUUGGUAUUCUUUGCCGAACCCAGCAGGUGCUGCUGGCAACUGUGAAGCUCAAUGCAUACUGAAGUCAAAUGCGAUCUUAACUGUAUAAAGAUUUAGGACGCGAUGCUUAAAUGAUUUUCAGGGUUGCAAUGAGCACUAGCCAAGAAAUCUGUAGUUCUCUCUUGAUUUAUAAUAGUCAAAUAUAAGGGGUAAAAAUGUAAGAUAGCAUGAUUCCAUUUAGUAAUCAGAAUGAAUUCUGGCAUGUAUCUGCAGCUGAAAAUACCACAUGUGACCCUGCUGUUGCUAUCAAGGCUGUUACUAGUAUCAAGCUACAAGUUAAUUACAAGUAUUUGGAUGUGAAGGUUUUUUUUGGAGGAAGAAUAUUUGAGUCUAAUUGAGCUUUGUGUCUAAUUCAAAUAUGCCAUGCAACUUUAGCAUCUUAUUUUCCUACUACAUGUUUGUCAUCGUAGGUUUGUCCUAUGAGACCCAAUCCUUUUCCAUAAAAUUCUCAAAAAAAUCUAUUUUUAAUUCAAAAGAUGAAAACAAAACAAGAGAAUAGAGAAGGAAACCAUGAGUCUCCAGUAUUCAUGUACUUCCAUUAAAUAAAGUAUUAAAAAUUUAUCAGAAAAAAAAACAACACCCUUUGCCAUCAGUUCCUAAAAUCAGGCUGCUAAUAUUUAAAAAAUAUAUGUGAAACUUUCUACAGGGUUUCACCCAGCAUAACCUAAACCUGAAAUCUGUUAAAUCUGACAUCUGUUUCCUAUUGCAUGAUGCACUGAGUCAAACUUCCACAGUCUUGGGGAUGAUGCAGGAAAGUGUAGGGGAAAAAAAAAAGCCUUUCUGUAUUAGAUUGUCAGCAAUUACUUUGAAUUAUGUUCUUUUCCGAGGAUAAGUCAAAUUCAUAAUGUAUGUGUUAUGAUUUUUGCUAUGAAGUAUUUAUUAAAGUUUUGCUGAUUGAGAACGCUUUUGACAGAGCUAUCACCUAAACUUCAGCUAAAGACAGUGUUUCAAAACAGCUAUGAACACUAAAGAUCAUAAAUUAUUUGUAGCAAAAAAGAACUUUGCAUCCUAAUCUCUAUCUCAACUCCUGCUGAUAGAGUCAUCCGUGAGCUCACUACUACUGGGCACUGCAUGCACUCCUUGCUGGGCCACAGAGCCCAACA